UGAAUACGAGAUGCUACGGCGUCGAAGCAGUCUAUGUCAUACUUCCAAGAAAAGCUUGCACUGUCAUAAACAAAUAAUGCCUGUACCAUAACCGACACAGGUGGGUAGGUAGAGUAUACUAAGGGGCGCGAGAUAACUCUCUCUAAGGAACUCGGCAAAAUGACUCCGUAACUUCGGGAGAAGGAGUGCCUUAUUUAUAAGGUUGCAAUAACAAGAUCCAAGCAACUGUUUACCAAAAACACAGGUCUCCGCUAAGUCGUAAGACGAUGUAUGGGGGCUGACGCCUGCCCAGUGCCAGAAGGUUAAAGAAGUUGGUUAGCAUCCGCGAAGCUGAUAACUGAAGCCCUGGUGAACGGCGGCCGUAACGAUAACGGUCCUAAGGUAGCGAAAUUCCUUGUCGGGUAAGUUCCGACCCGCACGAAAGGCGUAAUGAUUUGGAUACUGUCUCGGAGAGGGGCUCGGUGAAAUAGACUUGUCUGUGAAGAUGCGGACUACCUGCACCAGGACAGAAAGACCCUAUGAAGCUUUACUGUAACCUGAAAUUGAAAUUGGACUUUACUUGCGCAGUAUAGGUGGGAGGCGUUGAGAAUAUUCUUGCGGGAUUAUUGGAGCCAUCAGUGAGAUACCACUCUUGUAAUGUUAGAUUUCUAACUUUGUAUCAUUAUCUGGUCAAAGAACAGUUUCAGGCGGGCAGUUUGACUGGGGCGGUCGCCUCCUAAACGGUAACGGAGGCGCACAAAGGUUUCCUCUGAACGGGUAGAAAUCGUAUCUAGAGUGUAAAGGCAUAAGGAAGCUUGACUGUGAGACCUACAAGUCGAGCAGGGACGAAAGUCGGUCUUAGUGAUCUGACGGUGCUGAGUGGAAAGGCCGUCACUCAACGGAUAAAAGUUACUCUAAGGAUAACAGGCUGAUCUCCCCCAAGAGUUCACAUCGACGGGGAGGUUUGGCACCUCGAUGUCGGCUCAUCGCAUCCUGGGGCGGUAGUACGUCCCAAGGGUUGGGCUGUUCGCCCACGAAAGCGGUACGCGAGCUGGGUUCAGAACGUCGUGAGACAGUUCGGUCCAUAUCCGGUGUAGGCGUUAGAAUAUUGAGAGGAGCCUUCUUUAGUACGAGAGGACCGAGAAGGACAUACCUCUGGUGUACCAGUUAUCGUGCCAACGGUAAACGCUGGGUAGCUAUGUGUGGAGUGGAUAACCGCUGAAAGCAUCUAAGUGGGAAGCCCACCUCAAGAUAAGUAUUCUCA
rnacentral:rRNA from 1 species